rnacentral:rRNA from 1 species
UUAGGUAUAAGCAAUCUAUACAGUGAAACUGCGAAUGGCUCAUUAAAUCAGUUAUCGUUUAUUUGAUAGUACCUUACUACUUGGAUAACCGUGGUAAUUCUAGAGCUAAUACAUGCUAAAAAUCCCGACCUCUGGAAGGGAUGUAUUUAUUAGAUAAAAAACCAAUGCCUUCGGGCUCCUUGGUGAUUCAUGAUAACUUAACGAAUCGCAUGGCCUUGUGCCGGCGAUGGUUCAUUCAAAUUUCUGCCCUAUCAACUUUCGAUGGUAGGAUAGUGGCCUACCAUGGUUUCAACGGGUAACGGGGAAUUAGGGUUCUAUUCCGGAGAGGGAGCCUGAGAAACGGCUACCACAUCCAAGGAAGGCAGCAGGCGCGCAAAUUACCCAAUCCCGACACGGGGAGGUAGUGACAAUAAAUACUGAUACAGGGCCCUUUCGGGUCUUGUAAUUGGAAUGAGUACAAUUUAAAUCCCUUAACGAGGAACAAUUGGAGGGCAAGUCUGGUGCCAGCAGCCGCGGUAAUUCCAGCUCCAAUAGCGUAUAUUAAAGUUGUUGCAGUUAAAAAGCUCGUAGUUGAACCUUGGGUCUGGCUGGCCGGUCCGCCUCACCGCGUGCACUGGUCCGGCCGGACCUUUCCUUCUGGCUAACCUCAUGCCCUUUACUGGGUGUGUUGGGGAACCAGGACUUUUACUUUGAAAAAAUUAGAGUGUUCAAAGCAGGCAUUUGCUCGAAUACAUUAGCAUGGAAUAAUAGAAUAGGACGUGCGGUUCUAUUUUGUUGGUUUCUAGGACCGCCGUAAUGAUUAAUAGGGAUAGUCGGGGGCAUCCGUAUUCAAUUGUCAGAGGUGAAAUUCUUGGAUUUAUUGAAGACGAACUACUGCGAAAGCAUUUGCCAAGGAUGUUUUCAUUAAUCAGGAACGAAAGUUGAGGGAUCGAAGACGAUCAGAUACCGUCGUAGUCUCAACCAUAAACUAUGCCGACUAGGGAUCGGGCGAUGUACUUUUCGUGACUCGCUCGGCACCUUACGAGAAAUCAAAGUCUUUGGGUCUGGG